CCUCUGGUGCAUUGGGCCUCGGUGAGCCGGCAGCCCAUUCGAAGGAGGGAGGCCUACGAGCGACCGCGCGAGGGUCCAUCCACCCUAAUCCAAUCCCGAUCGAAACCGCAUCGACUCCACUCCAGUCCCCAAUCCUGGUCGAGCAGCCGGUGCCGCCAGGAUGCGAUCGAGUCCAUCCGGUCUUUCCCGGCGACCGGAGGAGAGGAGCAGUCGGUGCGGCCGGUUCGAACCAUUGAAGACGGGGUGAGGGAUGGGAUCGAGUCCCCAGCGACCGGAGGAGCAGGAUCUGGGACGAGGCAACCAAUCCAGCGCGUGACAGAAUCACGAAUUCACGAUGCGUGUGAAGAAAGGUGGGGGCGAGGGAGAUAAUGGCAGACGCCUCGCCUUCUUGAAACUGCUCUGGAAAUUGCUCUGCUCUCUUUAAAGCUCGCAAUCAUGGCGUAUUAUUCAUUCACGGCUGGUAAAGUCGCAAACCUUUCCUGUGCCCAUUGGUACUAUAUAAUGUUUCCCUCUCUAGCUGUGUAUGCAGACCCUACUCAAGCAUCUACAUCUUGUUCAGCAACCGAUGCCCCGUCUGAUCGAAACGAGAGACGGACGGUCGCUCUGCUUGAAAAGAGAGAGACGGUCUCUGAGCGACGGCAUGCCUGGUUGCUGGUGCAGGCCGCUCGCCUGAUUUAGGGAAGGCGUCGCGGCUGUUCGGUGAAGCGGGCAGAUGAAGUUGAUGUGCUUUGUUCCUAAAAACAAUGCAUCAUCAGUUCCUGGAAGCGCUGAUCUGUGCCACUCACCGGCGCUCGGCGGUGAUUAAUGGACAGAAUCUCAAGCAGCUAUGGUUCUCGGCUAGGUGGCCCCUCUAUCUUCAUUUUAUUUUCCAUUACGAUCCCUUCUUUGACCCAGCAAUUUCGUUGUGCUAAUUUCUUUUCAAUCUCAAAUUUGUACAGUUGGUUUUCAUCCUGGUUCUUCAGCCAAAUUUUGAAGUUUUGCUCUCUUUUUUUGUUUGAGGAAAUUCUCACUUCAAAGCUACCAGAUUGUGCAUUGGUCUAGAAAUACAUAUUUAACUCGGUAAUGUGGAGUUCACUACUGUGGUACACUGUAAAUGGCAAGCUUUUACAUGAAGCACUUUUGAUGAUCCUAAGGAAUUGAUACAGAAAUGUAUAAUAUGAUAUUGAGGUUCAUUCUCUUCCUUUC